UACGGGGGGGGCAAGCGUUGUUCGGAAUUACUGGGCGUAAAGGGCGUGUAGGCGGCCAGAUAAGUCCGGUGUGAAAGUCGGGGGCUCAACCCUCGAAAGCCGGUGGAUACUGUCGGGCUAGAGUACGGAAGAGGCGAGUGGAAUUCCUGGUGUAGCGGUGAAAUGCGCAGAUAUCAGGAGGAACACCGGUGGCGAAGGCGGUUCUCUGGGCAUUACCUGACGCUGAGGAGCGAAAGUGUGGGGAGCGAACAGG
rnacentral:rRNA from 1 species